rnacentral:rRNA from 1 species
GAUUGAACGCUGGCGGCGUGCCUAACACAUGCAAGUCGAGCGGGUAACAGGUGUAGCAAUACAUGCUGACGAGCGGCGAACGGGUGAGUAAUGCUUCGGAAUCUGCCCAUGUAGUGGGGAAUAACCAGCCGAAAGGUUGGCUAAUACCGCAUACGACCCUUGCCCACAAGGCAAAGGUGAAAGCAGGGGGAUCGCAAGACCUUGCGCUAUUGGAUGAGCCGAAGUCGGAUUAGCUAGUUGGUAGGGUAACGGCCUACCAAGGCGACGAUCCGUAGCUGGUCUGAGAGGACGACCAGCCACACUGGGACUGAGACACGGCCCAGACUCCUACGGGAGCAGCAGUGGGGAAUAUU